rnacentral:misc_RNA from 1 species
AAGUCGUAACAAGGUUUCUGUAGGUGAACCUGCAGAAGGAUCAUUAGUGAAGAUUUGGGCAGGCCAAACGGACGCCAAAAAGUGUCCCUGGCCGCCUACACCCACUAUACAUCCACAAACCCGUGUGCACUGUCUUGGAGAAAGGCUUCAGAGAAGUUUUUUGUGGCCUCUCUUGGGGUCUUUCUUCGCUACAAACUCGAAUGGUUAGUAUGAACGUGGAACUUGGUUGGACCGUCACUGGCCAACAAACUAUACACAACUUUCGACAACGGAUCUCUUGGUUCUCC